UUCCGUCCAUGGUUCCGUCUCGCGCAUCGUUUUGCUUCGGGUUCCGAGUUGAUUGACAUGUUUUCUCAGGUGUGCAACGGGCUUUGAGUGAGAAGCAGUUUGAAUAAUCUGGACCAAGUUUGGGAUGGCUGAGAGCACACCCACAAUGGAUAACUCUGAUGAGGACCUCUAUAAUGUACCGGAUUACUUAACUCCUACUGUGAGGAAGGAGGGAACAGUCCCCCCACACCACAGUCGACUAUGUUCCUCCACCAGGAAAAGUAACAGUUCUCAGUGCUGGCCAGGAGACUGUUUCUCUUGGCUUUUCACUCCCUGAUAACUCUGUAAGGUAUACACUGCAAAUAGAUUACUCCUGCAACACACAGAGAGACAGUUGGUCACAGAGGACUCCAGCACUGUGAAUG